rnacentral:rRNA from 1 species
UACGUAGGGUGCAAGCGUUGUUCGGAAUCAUUGGGCGUAAAGCGUGUGCAGGCGGCUAAUUAAGUCGGGUGUGAAAUCCCUAGGCUCAACCAAGGAAGUGCAUUCGAAACUAAUUAGCUUGAAGAUGGUAGAGGAAGGUGGAAUUCCAAGUGUAGAGGUGAAAUUCGUAGAUAUUUGGAGGAAUACCGGUGGCGAAGGCGGCCUUCUGGGCCAUUCUUGACGCUGAGACACGAAAGCGUGGGUAGCAAACAGG